UACGUAGGGUGCAAGCGUUUAAUCGGAAUUACUGGGCGUAAAGCGUGCGCAGGCGGUUUUGUAAGUCUGUCGUGAAAGCCCCGGGCUCAACCUGGGAAUUGCGAUGGAGACUGCAAGGCUUGAAUCUGGCAGAGGGGGGUAGAAUUCCACGUGUAGCAGUGAAAUGCGUAGAGAUGUGGAGGAACACCGAUGGCGAAGGCAGCCCCCCUGGGUCAAGAUUGACGCUCAUGCACGAAAGCGUGGGGAGCAAACAGG
rnacentral:rRNA from 1 species